AAUGUGAUCAAAACAAAUACACUCUAAGUUGUUUUUUUUUUAGAGAGAGAGAAAAAUAGCAUACUAUCUGUUCCGUUUAUUUCUUUUAAAAUAAAAAAAUAAAUUUAGCUGAAAAUGUGAAAUAAUUAGAUUUCGAACUUACAAUCUCAAGUAUCAACCACUAAAUUUUUCACCACUUGCAAUAUGGCCAGAGGUCAGUACACUCUUAAGUUGUGGAAAGGAUUGUUUGUGCCACUCAUAGACACACAAAAAA
rnacentral:lncRNA from 1 species